AUUGAACGCUGGCGGCAGGCCUAACACAUGCAAGUCGAACGGUAGCACAGAGGAGCUUGCUCCUUGGGUGACGAGUGGCGGACGGGUGAGUAAUGUCUGGGAAACUGCCCGAUGGAGGGGGAUAACUACUGGAAACGGUAGCUAAUACCGCAUAACGUCGCAAGACCACAGAGGGGGACCUUCGGGCCUCUUGCCAUCGGAUGUGCCCAGAUGGGAUUAGCUAGUAGGUGGGGUAACGGCUCACCUAGGCGACGAUCCCUAGCUGGUCUGAGAAGAUGACCGGCCACACGGGAACUGAGACACGGUCCAGACUCCUACGGGAGGCAGCAGUGGGGAAUAUUGCACAAUGGGCGCAAGCCUGAUGCAGCCAUGCCGCGUGUAUGAAGAAGGCCUUCGGGUUGUAAAGUACUUUCAGCGAGGAGGAAGGCGUUGUGGUUAAUAACCGCAACGAUUGACGUUACUCGCAGAAGAAGCACCGGCUAACUCCGUGCCAGCAGCCGCGGUAA
rnacentral:rRNA from 1 species